rnacentral:rRNA from 1 species
UGGGGAAUUUUGCGCAAUGGGGGCAACCCUGACGCAGCAACGCCGCGUGCGGGACGACGGCCUUCGGGUUGUAAACCGCUUUCAGCAGGGAAGAAAUUCGACGGUACCUGCAGAAGAAGCUCCGGCUAACUACGUGCCAGCAGCCGCGGUAAUACGGAGGGAGCGAGCGUUAUCCGGAUUCAUUGGGCGUAAAGAGCGCGUAGGCGGCCUCUCAAGCGGGAUCUCUAAUCCGAGGGCUCAACCCCCGGCCGGAUCCCGAACUGGGAGGCUCGAGUUCGGUGGAGGGAGGCGGAAUUCCCGGUGUAGCGGUGGAAUGCGCGGAUAUCGGGAAGAACACCGAUGGCGAAGGCAGCCUGCUGGGCCGCAACUGACGCUGAGGCGCGAAAGCUAGGGGGGCGAACAGG